AUGUACGACUGCUUGGGAUAGAAACUUGUUGAUAGGAUUUGAGUCCAAAAACAGGAGAGGCUAUCAAAUUUGAGGGCUUGUUGGUGGUCAUGAUAUACAACAUUUACAAUGUUAUUUACUAGGAGAUGGAUUUAAGUUUCUCUGAAGCAUAAAUAACAUGCUUACAUUAUGGCGCCAAAAUGCAUGACAGAAUCUUUAUGAACAACUUACAUGAUUUGCCGCAUCUUUAGGCCAAAACUUCUUAUUUCAAAUAAUGAUUUAGAAGAUCAUGACUAACAUAUUUAUUGCUAAUGAAAACUUGAAGUAAUUUAUCCCCAAUAUGGAUACAACCUUGGUUUUGCAUGUUAGGCAAUGCAGAAUAUGGCGGAGGGAAAAUCAGUUCUUAUUCUAGAUGGGGGGUCGUGCAUUUUGGCUCUAAAACAUUGCAAAUACGUAGAAGGAAAACAAGGAGAAGAGGUCAAAGAACUAAGAAUUCACAGAUAAAUCAAGUUGAUAGUAUCCAAAAUGAAUCCAACAUUCUGGUACUAACUUUACAAUGUUUGAUAGAAAAAUUUAGUUGAGACCAAACCUCUAUCUGCCAAAAUUCAACGUAUUCCUAUGCGUGCCAGCUUGAUACGUCAUUAUUUUACAAGCUUUUAACUAGUGUCUUCCAAUGUUACCAAAGAUGCUCCGGGCCCUCGCCUAGGCACUUAAGCCCUGGCGUGGAAGUUCCUGAGCUCCUCAAUAGUUCCAAGUAGAGGCGAGUUUACCAAGGCAAUGCAGCUGCCUAGGACAAAGCAGGAGCCUUUGGGCAACUGUCUCCCCAAUGUUCAACAAUAUUCUAACUACCCAUACUUUCUUAUUCUUUUCGAGCUUUAUUUUUUGGGUUAUUUUGGUCUAUUGGAGU